CUAUACUGUGAAACUGCGAAUGGCUCAUUAAAUCAGUUAUAAUUUAUUUGAUAGUACCUUUACUUGGAUAACUGUGGUAAUUCUAGAGCUAAUACAUGCUAAAAACCUCGACUUCGGGAGGGGUGUAUUUAUUAGAUUAAAAACCAAUGCCCUUCGGGGCUCUUUGGUGAUUCAUAAUAACUAAACGAAUCGCAUGGCCUUGCGCCGGCGAUGGUUCAUUCAAAUUUCUGCCCUAUCAACUUUCGAUUGUAGAGUAGUGGUCUACAAUGGUUUCAACGGGUAACGGGGAAUUAGGGUUCUAUUCCGGAGAGGGAGCCUGAGAAACGGCUACCACAUCCAAGGAAGGCAGCAGGCGCGCAAAUUACCCAAUCCCGACACGGGGAGGUAGUGACAAUAAAUACUGAUACAGGGUUCUUUUGGAUCUUGUAAUUGGAAUGAGUACAAUGUAAAUACCUUAACGAGGAACAAUUGGAGGGCAAGUCUGGUGCCAGCAGCCGCGGUAAUUCCAGCUCCAAUAGCGUAUAUUAAAGUUGUUGCAGUUAAAAAGCUCGUAGUUGAACCUUGGAUCUGGCUGAUCUGUCCUCCUAAUCGAGCGCACGGAUUCGGCUGGAUCUUUCCUUCUGGGGAACCCUAUGCCCUUUACUGGGCGUAGUGGGGAACCAG
rnacentral:rRNA from 1 species